rnacentral:rRNA from 1 species
CUGGAAUCGCUAGUAAUCGCAGAUCAGCAAAGCUGCGGUGAAUACGUUCCCGGGCCUUGUACACACCGCCCGUCACACCACGGGAGUCGGUCGCGCCUGAAGCCGGUGGCCUAUCAGUAAUGGGGGAGCCGUCUAUGGCGAGAUUGGUAACUGGGGUGAAGUCGUAACAAGGUACC